rnacentral:rRNA from 1 species
GUGAGACAGGUGCUGCAUGGCUGUCGUCAGCUCGUGUUGUGAAAUGUUGGGUUAAGUCCCGCAACGAGCGCAACCCUUAUCCUUUGUUGCCAGCGGUCCGGCCGGGAACUCAAAGGAGACUGCCAGUGAUAAACUGGAGGAAGGUGGGGAUGACGUCAAGUCAUCAUGGCCCUUACGACCAGGGCUACACACGUGCUACAAUGGCGCAUACAAAGAGAAGCGACCUCGCGAGAGCAAGCGGACCUCAUAAAGUGCGUCGUAGUCCGGAUUGGAGUCUGCAACUCGACUCCAUGAAGUCGGAAUCGCUAGUAAUCGUGGAUCAGAAUGCCACGGUGAAUACGUUCCCGGGCCUUGUACACACCGCCCGUCACACCAUGGGAGUGGGUUGCAAAAGAAGUAGGUAGCUUAACCUUCGGGAGGGCGCUU